rnacentral:lncRNA from 1 species
AUGGGAGCUGAGGAGCAGCUGAAGGGCUUGCUCAACCUAUGUCACAAAUACACCCGAGAUUCAGAUGCCAUGGGCAGAUCUGGAUGUCCAACGUCAUGCAUUUCCCCCACCUUCCUAUCAGCCUUGAAAAAAAGAGCCCAGAUUUCUUGGAAAAGUUGUUUAAGAAGGACAAGAAUCAUGAGGAGAAGAUCAAUUUUUCUGAGUUUGUCUCCAGUGUUGCUGCAGUUGCUAAGGAAUUACACCAUCAGUCCCAUGGCCAGAAGCCCUGUUCUAAA